GAUGAAGAACGUAGCGAAAUGCGAUAAGUAGUGUGAAUUGCAGAAUUCAGUGAAUCAUCGAAUCUUUGAACGCACAUUGCGCCCUUUGGUAUUCCAAAGGGCAUGCCUGUUCGAGCGUCAUUUGUACCCUCAAGCUUUGCUUGGUGUUGGGCGUCUUGUCUCUAGCUUUGCUGGAGACUCGCCUUAAAGUAAUUGGCAGCCGGCCUACUGGUUUCGGAGCGCAGCACAAGUCGCACUCUCUAUCAGCAAAGGUCUAGCAUCCAGUAAGCCUUUUUUUCAACUUUUGACCUCGGAUCAGGUAGGGAUACCCGCUGAACUUAAGCAUAUCAAUAAGCGGAGGA
rnacentral:misc_RNA from 1 species